GAUGAACGCUGGCGGCGUGCCUAAUACAUGCAAGUCGAGCGAACGGACGAGAAGCUUGCUUCUCUGAUGUUAGCGGCGGACGGGUGAGUAACACGUGGAUAACCUACCUAUAAGACUGGGAUAACUUCGGGAAACCGUAGCUAAUACCGGAUAAUAUUUUGAACCGCAUGGUUCAAAAGUGAAAGACGGUCUUGCUGUCACUUAUAGAUGGAUCCGCGCUGCAUUAGCUAGUUGGUAAGGUAACGGCUUACCAAGGCAACGAUGCAUAGCCGACCUGAGAGGGUGAUCGGCCACACUGGAACUGAGACGCGGUCCAGACUCCUACGGGAGGCAGCAGUAGGGAAUCUUCCGCAGUGGGCGAAAGCCUGACGGAGCAACGCCGCGUGAGUGAUGAAGGUCUUCGGAUCGUAAAACUCUGUUAUUAGGGAAGAACAUAUGUGUAAGUAACUGUGCACAUCUUGACGGUACCUAAUCAGAAAGCCACGGCUAACUACGUG
rnacentral:rRNA from 1 species